rnacentral:pre_miRNA from 1 species
ACUGGUUUCCUCUGGUGCAUAGAGUAAGUCUAGCCUUCUAGCACCAUUUGAAAUCGGUUA